UAUUAACACAUAAAGUUAGUACGACGUUGGUUCCUCUCAAAGUCAGAGGCAUUAAUUCAUAUUUUUGCACGCAACGUAAACCAAAAGUGAAGAUCGCAUUUAUCAUAAAGAUUUCGCCGGAUAUUUUUGGUCGGUCGAUGAUUGUUUCGAUUUCGAGGAAUUCUGAUUGCAAUUGUAUGAGAGUCCAAAGAUUAAAACUACGUCAAAAAUUGUUAAACAUCGGGGAAGUUCUAAAAAUUAAGGUCUGCGAAGGAAGGGUGGGAACGAUAAGCGCCAAAAAGAAGAUAGCAGAGUUGUUGUUCGAAAAUUGUACCGAUUGCUCCAGAAUGGCAGCUAUUCCUCAGGGUGCUUUUGCAGCGUGCAAAGUCCGUCGCAAUCUUCAACGUAAUUCUAUGAUAACGUCAAUCGAGGACAGGGAAAGAACGGGAAAAGAAAGCAAAUUUAAUAUGAGACCCCCAUUGGAAGGAUGGGAGCUGACACCCUUAAAGUAUAACAGCAAAUUGAUGAACAGCAUCUGGGGAAUGUACAAUCGUUAUUCGGUACACAAUUUCAAGAAAAACACCGACUCGAACGAUGGGGUGUUUGGGACGUUCGUGGCGGUCUGGAAGACAAUUUCUCAUUGUCGUGUGCCUGCCACGAACUCGGUGACUGCAACAGCAGUCACCAAAAAUAAUUCCUAAACACUAAUACCAGAGCUGAAAACAAUAUACAAUUUCAUUUCACAUUUGUUAUAUAAUAAAGACAAUUGAAGCAGUAUUGCAUGUUCUUCUUAUAAUUGUUUUUAAUUGUAAGAUUCUUUUCGCGUAACACUGGCCAAAUCUUGAUUUAAUGCGGAAAAAAGAUGAAAUAAAUGUGUUACGUAGUAUACGUAAUUUAGAAUGAUUUGUGAUAUCUCUUAAUUCAAGACUGUUGAAAUGCAAAGUAUAUGUGUAAAAAAUAUCUAUAUGGAUUGUAUGUACUA